CUAUACAUGACUCUGUGCAUAUCAAUAAGCGGAGGAAAAGAAACUAACAAGGAUUCCCUUAGUAACGGCGAGUGAAGCGGGAAGAGCUCAAAUUUGAAAUCUUCAAGGGUUUACCUUGACGAAUUGUAGUUUAAAGAAGUGUUUUCUGUUAGAGAGGUUGGUAAAAGUUCUUUGGAAUAGGACAUCAUAGAGGGUGAGAAUCCCGUAUUUGACCAUUAUUUCUAGCUUUGUGAUACACUUUCAAAGAGUCGGAUUGUUUGGGCAUGCAGUCCAAAAUGGGUGGUAAAUUUCAUCUAAAGCUAAAUAUUGGCGAGAGACCGAUAGCGAACAAGUACCGUGAGGGAAAGAUGAAAAGAACUUUGAAAAGAGAGUUAAACAGUACGUGAAAUUGUCAAAAGGGAAGCGUUUGACACCAGUGUUGUUUUCUCGAAAAUCAAUUAAAUGAUGGCUUGAUGCUAGUGUUGUAUAGACUUUAUCAGCUUACUGUCUAGUUUUCUUGUCUUUGUGAAUGCACUUUUCGUUUAACAAGUCAACAUCAAUUUCUUUUGCUUGUAAAAGGGUAAGAGGAAGGUGGCUUCAUCUUCGGUAGAAGUGUUUAUAGCCUGUGCCUCUGCAAUCGGAGAGAUUGAGGUCUGCAGCGUAGACUCCUUCGGGGUUAGAUACAGUUUGUGCUAAGUUAUAGCUUUUCAUAGACAACUUGUUGACUAUGUUUAGUCUUGUGACUUACUCGCUUAUGCUAUUUUACCUACGCUUAGGAUGUUGAUAUGCAUGACUGAUAU
rnacentral:rRNA from 1 species